ACGUUAUUUUCCUUUUCCAAAUUAUGCAAAUUCUUGUGAGUUUCUCCAUUAGCUUGUUCACACUACUGAAUACGUUCACGGUGACGUUUGAAAGUGUGAUUGUAAUGUUUUCAAGCCUGUAAACGUGCUUACAUGUUUAUUACUUCUUUACGCAUCGCUGACGACAGUUGAAACGUUUACAUGCAUCGCGUGCAUAAAUCUAUCGACAAGUAAUUGAUGUUUUUGCUCGAUUAUAUUGCUCUUUACGAUGCAUUCAUGCUCAAUGGUAUAUAAACGAUUCGAUUCAAGAACCAUGGACAUUCAUCUAGGAAAAGUAUUUCACUUUUUUUUUUUUACAAAGAUUAAUUGUUUUUAAAAAUGAAUAAAAAUAUGAAGAAAAAAGUUAUAUUUUACAAUAUAUUUCUCAUUACAAUUGAAGAAGAAAAAGCUAAUUGAAGGAUUUACCAAAUAGCUGCAAUGAAUGGAUAAAAUGAAAUGAAUUAUUGAUGAAUUGCAAACAGAAUAUCUUAUAGAUAUUAAGGCUAAUGUAGAUAUCAUUAGACAACUUUUAUUAGUGAAAUUAUUCUUGUAUUAGUAUUUGGAUAAAUAACAUUCAAUGUAUUAGUACCAUUUGUACAAAUGUAAAUCUCCCUUUUAUCUCUCCAAGUUUCAUGUUCAUCGGGAACUUUAUCCAAAGUAAUAAAUAGAACAACAAGGAUCGUUUGAUAUACUUGAUCCUGAAACCACCGUAUAACUUUUCUGUUAUUCAACGGAUACGAGUUGACCAGUCGAUAAAUAUCCAACUUUAGAGCAAAUUCCUGGCACCUAGUUAUCUGUGAGUGUGAAAAGCCAAUCUCGAGAGAUUUUUUUUCAAUGGCAUGCCGACCGAAGCAAAGGAUAAGAGAUCACAAAUCGAAAAAGGUUCCAGUUACAACCGGGAUCAAGGGAAGAAAUUAAAUUUGGGGUUUUAUAAUGCUGCAUAACAUUCCUGAAACGCGAAACGAUACACGUUCGAUGUUGAUUCGAGUGAUAAAGUGAUGAAAAAAAAGAAAGAAAGAAAGAAAGAAAGAAAGAAAGACCGCCAAAGACCGAACACAGACGUUCAACUUCGUAUUACAAGAGAAUCGAGGCGCCACGAGUAAAUUCCGAAUUUGAGAGGACCACGUGAGAACACGAGACCGUUAACUGGAUUCCGCUAACCGAGUGUAUUUUUUAUCUUUCAGAGAUACAUUUAAGUACCAGCCGACGCAUGCCUCAGAUAAAAUCCACGACAUUGCGAAUAUUACAAAGUACCAAAAACUAUUUUAUCAAUUUAGGCAUUCGAGAAAAGUAUAAGAUUGAUUAUUGAGAACAUCUUGGACAUCAUUAAAUAUACUGUAUUGAUAAAACAGGAAGUUUUGAAUAUCCUUCGAAGUUGCAAAUACCGUAUAAAUAUAACUGUGUGACGCUAUGGCCAAAAAUAUCACACGACUGUGUUAAUAUCGCAACCAAACGGCGAUGAAUGUGCACGUGUAUGUAUGUAUGUAUGUAUAUAUGUAAAUGUCCACGUACGAUGUGAUGAGAACGUUUUCGCGAGGCACAGAGAGAGAGAUCGGUCGAACGAUCAUCUUGAGUCUCGAAUUAAAAAGCGUCCCGCUAUUCAUAAACUGUGGCUGGUGUGGUUUUAGCCACCCACGAUUUUCUCUGAUCGUAGUAGCCAUUCAUUAUUUCGACGCUAUUCUAGAAAUAAUAAUAAUAGAAGCAAGAUGAACGUUCUCUAACGAUCAAGUAGGAAAUCAAUGUCGAUUCAUGCGUGGGAUUCUUCCGUGUGGGCUGCCUUUCAAACAUUUCCACUUUAAAAACAAACUUUUUCAAUCCAUACACCGUUUCGUGAGAAACUUUGAUCAAUCUUUCCUGAUUGUUUUUUUAACGCGUUAAUUAAAUGUAGAAUUAUUAUGAGACGUCCGAUCUUUUAAUGUGCUGCCAUCUACGUACGUCUGAUUGGCUGUUAGAAAACAAACGAGUAAUGGUAGACAUACUAGCGCAGUAUAUGACUUCAGGUAAAGAAACGACAACGUCUCGUGUGAUUCACGCGACGUGUCUGCCUGACUGCUCACAACGAAGCCCGCGACCUAUCAAUAGCUCCUCAUAUACACUGAAGAGAGACUGUCAUUUCACUGAAGACUAAAAAUAGAGUUCACGCGUUCGUCCACAAGCCAUUGGGGACCAAGCAAUUCUGUAUCAGUUUUCUCUCUUUCUUUCGAUCAUACUUUCUCUCUUCACCUAUCUUUUCAUCCUAUUUCCUAUUCCUUCUUUCUUUUUUUUUUUUCUAAUCACUAUUUGAAGUAAAAUUAUAGGUUAUGUUUCAAACUGUUGAUACAUAUCAUUCAUUCUAAUAUACAAUUUAAAAUUUUAUUUUUCCGGAUAGAAAUUUUUUUUUGAAAAUAUUUAAUUUUUUUUAUUUGACGAAUAAAUUCCACGAUUUUAAAAAUUUUUUAUGGUUGAAAAUUAUGUUUAAACAAAGUCAAUGUUGAUUUUGUUCCAAAGCACUCGAAGAACAGGAUUAAUAAAACGAAAAUAAUUUUUCAGGCAUUGUAAAUUAAACCAAGUUUAAUUUCAAUAAAUAAAUAUUUAAUUAGCAAUUGAUAUCGUAUUUAGAAUGCACACGAAAAAUUAAAAGUCUGCAUUACUAUAGCUCAUUUGUAUAAUUAUCGACUCAUCUCAAUAUACAUAUGAGCGUCGUUAAUAUGUAUUUAAAUAAACAUGCAUGAUUUUCGAUCUUAUGCAUUCUUAAGAUUAAAAUUAUGAUUUUUUAAAUAUACUCAUCAAGUUCUCGUCAAAAUGUCAAAAUUAUAUAAAAAUAUUUUUAUAUUAACGCUAUCAAUAUGUGUAUGAAAUAAAUUUAUUCCAAAAAAAAAAUAUUAUUUUUUUAAAUAUUUGACAUUUGAUAUGUUUUAAGAUAAAUUAUUAAAAUUAACAAAAAAGAACGUAAAAAUAUAACGUCUGACAUGGUGUAAUAGGCAAAUAUGUUGCCAGUCAAGGACAGAGUUUAUGAAGAUUGGCUAAAUUAAAGUCCAUUGGGACCAGUCCAGUCGUUCCGUUUGAUAUAUAUUCGCGACAGAACUCGUUACUAUGAUAGAGAAUAUUAAUCGAAGGAGUGAGGACUUCGAAUCGUUUUAUAAUUGACCCCAAAUUUACUUUUACAUUCUUAACUCACAAUCAACUGUUCGCCAGUCAAGUUAUUAAACCAAUGUUAUUAACCUCGUUACGAGUUCGUCAGACUAACUUUGGAUCCACCAUGGAAACAAUACGUACAUCGCCCUAAUUGUUAACAUCCUUUCGAUGAAUCACGUAAAUAUAUCUGCUAUAUUUAAAAAUAAUAUAAUUCGAUCCUAAAUUUGUGAAGAUGAUUAAUCAUUUGUGAUUAAAUGUGACCGGUAUUCGCUCGGUAAAUAUAAAUAAAAUAAACAUAUUUUUUCGCAUACACACCUUUCUAUAACGUACUGCUAAUUUAUUUCUUUUUAUAUCCGUUAAUUGGCCACGUGUUUCGACAGAUGUCGCGCUUCAAGUCAGAUUUGUACACGCCAUCUACAUACAGAGUGUUUUCUUUAAUCGAGAACAGUGGAAUAUCUUUAUAUCCAAGGGAUUAAAUUUAUCGAAAAAAUAUUUUAAAAUUAUUUGGUUAGAUAUCAUUGGUGUAAAUUAUUUUUUUUCUUCUGAAUUCUGAAUAUCAACAAUAAGAGAAUGGAAUAAAAGUGAAAUCGUGGGAUGAAUGGAGGAUUCUUUCCGGCUGGGACACGCUAAUCGACAACCUCUGAAUCAUCAACAUGCCCGAAGAGUAAAACGUCUCUCUGGUCGCCGGUUAAAAAACACCGAGACGACGAUGAGACAGUGUAUAAAAGAAGAAAGCGACAACGUCAGAGAGAAAGAGGGAAGAGAAAGUGGCAGAAAGCGAUUUGGAAGAAGGGAAAAAGAAUGUGCAUCAUUCUUGCAAGGCCGUUGCCUCGUUUAACAGUGAUGGCGAUUCACCUUCCUCCAAAAAAAAAGAAGAAGAAAAUAGAAAUAAAGAGGAGAAAAAAACCGGCUGGCUAACGCGUGUAUGACUGCUUACGAUGUAACAUCCUUUCUUUCUUUUUUUUUUUUUUUUUUACAACGCAAAAAUAAAUAUUCAUACCGAAAAUAGCGUGAACUCUUUCUGUCGGAUUACGUGACUUAUUGUCUUUUCUAAGAAACUACUUUCACCCCCUCCACCAUGUAUGUAUUAAAUGGACAACAGAGGAUUCACAUAUAUAUUUGUACAUCGACACGUAGAGAAAUUUCUCGAGGAAUGAUUUUAAGAGAAUAAAAUAGUUGUCAAUAAUAUUGGCAAUAAAAUUAAUAAUUCUGCUGCUA
rnacentral:lncRNA from 11 species